GACAGAGGGUGCAAACGUUGUUCGGAAUUACUGGGCGUAAAGCGCGUGUAGGCGGCUCUGUAAGUCGGAUGUGAAAUCCCACGGCUCAACCAUGGAAGUGCAUUCGAAACUACAGGGCUAGAGUUCUGGAGAGGAAGGUGGAAUGCUUGGUGUAGAGGUGAAAUUCGUAGAUAUCAAGCGGAACACCGGUGGCGAAGGCGGCCCUCUGGACAGUAACUGACGCUGGGACGCGAAAGCGUGGGGAGCAAACAGG
rnacentral:rRNA from 1 species